rnacentral:lncRNA from 1 species
UUUCUUUAAUUUUGGGUUAAAUAAUGAUUUUUGGGUGUUACACUGUCAGGGAACCACAUUCAGAACAUAGAGACACAAACUUCAAGUAAGCCCACUUCUUGUAGAACUACUAAAAACACGUUAUAAGUUUGGUCUAAAUUAUGGAAGCUUGAAACUUCCUUAAAUAUUAAUAACUUAUUAUGAAGAACUUGUCACUAAGCCUAAACUACAUAUAACGGAGAGAUGGUUUCAAUGGUUUUUAGUUGAGGUGGG